rnacentral:rRNA from 1 species
UUGAUAGGUCAGAGGUGUAAGUAUGGCAACAUAUUUAGCUGACUGAUACUAAUAGGUCGAGGGCUUGACCAAUAA